rnacentral:lncRNA from 1 species
ACUUCUGUGAAGGAUGCCUUGACAACAUCACAGCCAGUUGAGAGUCCAGUUCUGAAGGAGAGGAUCUUCUGAGAGUGGCUAAGAGGUUAGGAAGUGAUUGGUGGCAAGUGGCUAUUUUUUAGGAGUUGAUACAACUGAACUGAAAAUUGAUGAUGAGUCUAUUGACACUGUAAAACAAGGCUACCUGAUGCUUCGCGAAUGGUUCAAAAAUUGCGACCCAGAAACACGGACACACGCAACAUUAAGUGCAGCUCUUGAAGAAGCUGAAUGUUUCGCUGCGAUGGAAUGUCUGUCAUUAGACGCAAAGUGAAUUUCUGUGUAACUGUUGUUGUUUAGCUUCAGAUUAACCUUGACCAAACAGAGUCUUUUGAUCAAACGCAUUCCAGCCAGGACCAUCAUGCCUAUUUCCAAAGAGAACCCGCAACCAUCUCGUCCAAUAUGCCCUUCUGUACAGUGAUAUCGUGUGAAUUUAGCUGCUAAUUCUAGCAGGUAUAUCAACCACAUUGUGAUCCCAUCACUGGUUUUGCUCCUUUGUUAAAAAUUCACUUUUAAAAUAAAGACAAACUUUGAAAUGUUCA